AUGGCCGCCAAUGUUGGGGAAUCAGCGGCAGUUGGUGGCAGCAGCAGCGAUGCAGCUGGAGGGAGCUUCGAGUGCAAUAUUUGCUUUGAGUUGCCGCAAGAGCCAAUAGUAACUCUCUGUGGCCACCUAUUCUGCUGGCCGUGCCUCUACAGAUGGCUGCACAUGCACGCCAACACACCAGAGUGCCCUGUGUGCAAGGCCAUUGUUGAAGAAGACAAGCUUGUCCCCCUUUAUGGCCGUGGCAAGGACCGCGUCGACCCAAGGUCAAAGAACACGCCUGGAGGCGACAUUCCUCAGCGCCCAGCUGGCCAGAGGCCUGCUACAGCCCAACAGGCUGAUCCGAACAACAAUUUUGGCAACGCCCAUGCAAAUCCAUGGUUCAUGGGCAUGGGGGGCGCGGGGGCGGGGGCGGGAGUUCCACUGGCGAAUGGACGGUGGGGCAACUAUGCGUUCUCGGCUGCGUUUGGGGGCCUGUUCCCUAUGCUUAGCUUUCAAAUGCAUGGGUUCCCAGAUCCAGCUGCAUAUGCUCAGCCUGCCGGGUUUCACUAUGGGUUUGGUCACGGCCAUGGGUUCCAUGGCGGGCAUAUGGGGCACGCCCACGGCGUCCCCCGCCAAGGACCGCUAGGGCAGCAGCAGCAGCAGGCAGAUGUCUACCUGAAGGCCCUUCUUAUCAUGGUCGGAGUUCUUGUGAUCGCAAGCCUCCUCGCAGCUUAA
rnacentral:rRNA from 1 species